GUAGUCUCGCACAGAUGCAUAUCAAUAAGCGGAGGAAAAGAAACUAACAAGGAUUCCCUUAGUAACGGCGAGUGAAGCGGGAAGAGCUCAAAUUUGAAAUCUUGAAAGGUCUACCUUGCACGAAUUGUAGUUUAAAGAAGUGUCUUCUGUUGACGAUUCGGUAUAUAAGUUCUUUGGAAUAGGACAUCAUCAGAGGGUGAGAAUCCCGUCUAUGAUUGCGAUUUGUAGCUUUGUGAUACACUUUCAAAGAGUCGGGUUGUUUGGGAAUGCAGCCCAAAACGGGAGGUAAAUUUCUUCUAAGGCUAAAUAUUGGCGAGAGACCGAUAGCGAACAAGUACCGUGAGGGAAAGAUGAAAAGAACUUUGAAAAGAGAGCUAAAUAGUACGUGAAAUUGUCAAAAGGGAAGCGUUUAACACCAGUGUUGUUUUCUGAAAAUCAACCUCUGUUAGCUUUAUGCAUGUUUGUUUAGACCUAAUCAGCUAUCUUGCAUGUUCUAUUGUUUGCAGUGGUGCACUUUUCAGUUUACAGGUCAACAUCAGUUUUUUUUACCGUAAAAAAGUUAAAGAAAGGUAGCUCAUGGCUCCGGUCGUGAGUGUUAUAGUCUUUUUCCUAUGCGGUAGGAGAGACUGAGGUCUGCAGUGUAGGCUAUUUGGCUAGAUACUCAGGUGCUAUGUGAUAUCAUUUCAUAAACAACUUGUUGAUUAUGUUUUGUCUAUUGCAUACUCGCUUGUACUAUCAUACCUACGCUUAGGAUGUUGAAGAUGUAGCACAUCAU
rnacentral:rRNA from 1 species